UACGAAGGGUGCAAGCGUUAAUCGGAAUUACUGGGCGUAAAGGGUGCGUAGGCGGUUAUUUAAGUCUGCCGUGAAAUCCCCGGGCUCAACCUGGGAAUGGCGGUGGAUACUGGAUAGCUAGAGUGUGUCAGAGGAUGGUGGAAUUCCCGGUGUAGCGGUGAAAUGCGUAGAGAUCGGGAGGAACACCUGUGGCGAAGGCGGCCACCUGGGCCGACCCUGACGCUGAGGCGCGAAGGCGUGGGGAGCGAACGGG
rnacentral:rRNA from 1 species